CAAAAUGCCCCCUGUCGUUUCUAGUCAACAUUUGAAAAACUAACACCGUUAGUUUAUUUGUGCAUUUACUUAUUUGCCCUUAAAAGUUUUUCAAAAAAUCUGCACCAUUCAAGCCUAUCAUUUCUUCUCCCAUCCAACCAUCUCCCCAAUUUCACCUAUCACAGUUCUCUCUCCGAUUCUCCAUCCAACCAAGCGAGGUUCCAAAACCGAUUGACCGGCCAAUUACUGCUGCACCACCUCAAGUAGGCGGAGAUCGGCAAUUUAGCGAAUGAUGGACAGUUGGAAGCGGCGGAAGUGGAUGAAAGGCUUGUUGGGGAUCGGAGGCGUCGUCGUUUUGGGACGAGGAAUGACCUGAGGUGGAUGGUUGGUAAUCUUGCUGUUGGGAAAAAAAUGCGGCUGGGGUUUUCGGCUGCCGCCGCAUAUCUGUUACUGUUACUUGGAUUUGGUCUGUGGUAAUUCUCAUUGUUGGGGUUUUCCUUGGUGAAAGAUGAAAAGCUCUAUUUUUUUUCUUUUAUUAUUGUUUUAUAUAUAUAUUUUCUAUUUACGUUUUUUUUAGAGCUUUUGGCUUAAUUUAGUGCAUUUCUUGGUGAUGGGUUAAUAAUAAAUAUAUUUUUCUAAUCAACUUAAUUCAGAAUGUAUAUAUUUUCCUUUUGGUAAAUAAUAAUAAUA
rnacentral:lncRNA from 1 species